GCGGAUGGCUGGAUGGUCGCACCCGGCAUGCCAUGUCGGGUGAGGAAAGUCCGGACUCCAUGAAGCAACGGUGCCGGGUAACGCCCGGCCGGGGAAACCCGCGGGAAAGCGCCACAGAGAAUAGACGGCCCGCCUUCCGUCCGGCGGAUGCGGGUCACGGUGAAACGGUGGAGUAAGAGCCCACCGCGCUCGUGGCAACACGGGUGGCACGGCAAGCCCCACCGGGAGCAAGGCCGAAUAGGGAACGCAUGGACGUUCGUCCAGGGCCGCUUCAGCCCGGCGUUCCGGGUAGGCUGCGGGAACCCGCCGGUAACGUCGGGUCCAGAUGAAUGGCCAUCGAGGGGGCAGUGCCCCCGGACAGAAUCCGGCUUACAGGCCAUCCGCACUU
rnacentral:RNase_P_RNA from 1 species